GACGAACGCUGGCGGCGUGCUUAACACAUGCAAGUCGAACAGAAAGGCCCUGCUUUUGUGGGGUGCUCGAGUGGCGAACGGGUGAGUAACACGUGAGUAACCUGCCCUUGACUUUGGAAUAACUUCAGGAAACUGGGGCUAAUACCGGAUAGGAGCUCCUGCUGCAUGGUGGGGGUUGGAAAGUUUCGGCGGUUGGGGAUGGACUCGCGGCUUAUCAGCUUGUUGGUGGGGUAGUGGCUUACCAAGGCUUUGACGGGUAGCCGGCCUGAGAGAGUGACCGGCCACAUUGGGACUGAGAUACGGCCCAGACUCCUACGGGAGGCAGCAGUGGGGAAUAUUGCACAAUGGGCGGAAGCCUGAUGCAGCAACGCCGCGUGCGGGAUGACGGCCUUCGGGUUGUAAACCGCUUUCGCCUGUGACGAAGUGUGAGUGACGGUAAUGGGUAAAGAAGCACCGGCUAACUACGUG
rnacentral:rRNA from 1 species